rnacentral:rRNA from 1 species
UACAGGGGGUGCAAACGUUGCUCGGAAUUAUUGGGCGUAAAGCGCGCGUAGGCGGCUACUUAAGUCGGAUGUGAAAGCCCUUGGCUCAACUGAGGAAGUGCACCCGAAACUGAGUGGCUUGAGUACUAAAGAGGGUCGCGGAAUUCCCGGUGUAGAGGUGAAAUUCGUAGAUAUCGGGAGGAACACCGGUGGCGAAGGCGGCGACCUGGGUAGAUACUGACGCUGAGGCGCGAAAGCAUGGGUAGCGAACAGG